UGGCUCGGUGUGAAAAACUCCGGUGGUAUGGGAUGGGCCCGCGUCUGAUUAGGCAGUUGGCGGGGUAACGGCCCACCAAACCGACGAUCAGUAGCCGGCCUGAGAGGGCGACCGGCCACAUUGGGACUGAGACACGGCCCAAACUCCUACGGGAGGCAGCAGUGGGGAAUAUUGCACAAUGGGGGAAACCCUGAUGCAGCGACGCCGCGUGAGCGAAGAAGUAUUUCGGUAUGUAAAGCUCUAUCAGCAGGGAAGAUAAUGACGGUACCUGACUAAGAAGCCCCGGCUAACUACGUGCCAGCAGCCGCGGUAAUACGUAGGGGGCAAGCGUUAUCCGGAUUUACUGGGUGUAAAGGGAGCGUAGACGGCAAGGCAAGUCUGAUGUGAAAACCCAGGGCUUAACCCUGGGACUGCAUUGGAAACUGUCUGGCUCGAGUGCCGGAGAGGUAAGCGGAAUUCCUAGUGUAGCGGUGAAAUGCGUAGAUAUUAGGAAGAACACCAGUGGCGAAGGCGGCUUACUGGACGGUAACUGACGUUGAGGCUCGAAAGCGUGGGGAGCAAACAGGAUUAGAUACCCUGGUAGUCCACGCCGUAAACGAUGAAACGUAGGUGUUGGGGAGCAAAGCUCUUCGGUG
rnacentral:rRNA from 1 species